rnacentral:rRNA from 1 species
CCUACGGGAGGCAGCAGUGGGGAAUAUUGGACAAUGGGGGGAACCCUGAUCCAGCCAUGCCGCGUGUGUGAAGAAGGCCCUCGGGUUAUAAAGCACUUUCAGUGAGGAAGAACGCCUGGUGGUUAAUACCCAUCAGGAAAGACAUCACUCACAGAAGAAGCACCGGCUAACUCCGUGCCAGCAGCCGCGGUAAUACGGAGGGUGCGAGCGUUAAUCGGAAUUACUGGGCGUAAAGCGCGCGUAGGUGGCUUGAUAAGCCGGUUGUGAAAGCCCCGGGCUCAACCUGGGAACGGCAUCCGGUACUGUCAAGCUAGAGUGUAGGAGAGGAAGGUAGAAUUCCCGGUGUAGCGGUGAAAUGCGUAGAGAUCGGGAGGAAUACCAGUGGCGAAGGCGGCCUUCUGGACUGACACUGACACUGAGGUGCGAAAGCGUGGGUAGCAAACAGGAUUAGAUACCCCGGUAGUC